rnacentral:misc_RNA from 1 species
AUAUAUAUAUCAAACCUUCUCUUUGUUGAGCGGUUUUGGAUGUGGGGGUUUGCUGGCCUCUUAAAAAGGUUCAGCUCCUCUGAAAUGCAUUAGCAGAACAAACCUGUUCAUUGGUGUGAUAACUAUCUACGCUAUUGAAUGUAAGGGGCAGUUCAGCUCUCUAAUGGUCCUCGGACAAUUCAUCAUUA